rnacentral:lncRNA from 1 species
AAGAGCUCCGGCUACGAUACAAGCAACUCCAACGUAGCGUACAGGCUCGACGUAGUUUUCAGCCAAACCUAGCCAAUUAAUGAGGGCACCGACGCACAAUAACACCAUACCGUAACGGGAAAAUGCUCGACAAUGAAGUCCCACCUUUGGGGGACGACGAAAAAGAAUCCAUCAAACUCGAAAAUGGUCGGAAAGACAUUUGUCACACUCGUUUUAUAUUCACAAAUAUUUUUUUCUUCCAUUACACAAGUAUCAGGAUCGAAAUAAUUUGUUUUCGGAGAAUUCAUCAACGAAAAAUUGGAAGAAUAAGAUAAACGAAAUCCGAAAAUUUCAGCUUCCGUCAGAGAAACCCCAUCGAUUCGAUUUGUACGUUCACACAUGUCGACAUCGUCUAUACAGAAAGUUCUAUUUUCCCGAAACCGUUGUAGAGAGCACCCAAUAUAAUUUUAUACGAAAUCACUCGGGACGGUGCCCAGAAUAACAUUUCAAAGCGAUUGAAAUCUGAGGGACGAACGGGGGCUACCGGGGCUGCUAGUUCGCCGCAACGGGACGAGUUAAUUAUCCAUCAAUAACAUGGAAACCGAGGAAUGUAAACAUACGGGCGGUUCAUAUUGUGUUCUUUGCGAUCUCCCACACAUUCGCGUCUCUCAAUGCGUGUGGACUCUGAUUUUUUUCCAAAUGCAAAUUAUUCGGAGCGAAUGAAUCUUCCAUUGUGGAUGCUCAAGUUCCGACCCCUUGGCGCGGCCUUUCGAGAACUUCGACGACUGUGUACGUGACAAUUAAUUACUACGGUCAUUCUCGUCAGGGUUUCGUCAAUGGAGUGACACGUUUCGCAGUCAAAGUAAGAGGAUAAAGAUAGAGGGCUGAGGUGGACAAGCCUAACCCACUUCGGCUCGUUGUUCAUCGUCUAUUUUGGUCUCUCCUCUCCGUUAUCGUAUUCACCUCUGCGAACUCAAAUCUCACGCUCUCCUUUUCCGGAUAGGAUUUGAAACGAUGCAUUACUUUUCGUGCCCAUUGCAAUGUUACUCAUUCAAAUGGCAUUCUCGAAAUGGUUAUAAAAAGCAUAAAUAUCAUUGAGAAAAUUUGGAUGGAAGGGAUCAUUUGAAAUUCAGAAAAAAACCAGCACUUUACCGGUUCGAUUUGUCACUGCUCUUUCUUCGACAAUACCUUGGCAAGUAAUCGGUUCAUUCUCAUACAGGUUUCUUAAGAUAUCAUUGGAAAUAAUUAUAAUCAGUUUUCCAAGAGUCCGAUAGAGAAUUCACUCAAAUUUCAUUACAAUGCGAAGCUCGUUCGACUCCUAAUCUCACUGGCUUUUAACGCAGAGGCUGGAAGAGAGCGAGCGGAAAAUCUCACACUCGAAAAAUGUAUCGAAUCGCAGCUCCAUCUCAAAAUAGUUAAUAAAAUAUAAAAAUCGUAAUGAUUGAGAGACGCGAGAUAAAAAUGUAAAAAUUCGUUUAAAUAUUAUUUUCGUUUAGUUUCUAUCUAUAAAUUGUAGUUUAUUUGUAAAGGACGACGGCUCAAAUUCUCACAUUCGAGUUUUCUCCUGCCACAGACUCAUAUUCGAAAUCUACAAUACAAGCAGCACGAGUUUCCGUUUCAAUGAUGUGGGAAAAAAAAACCAAAAAUUAUCAUAGCCCGUGAAUAUAAAAAAAUCUAGAUCACUGAUAAAUACAAGGAGGAAAAAAACUCGUCGCUAGUCGGUGCAAAGAGAGAAAAAUUCGUUGAAUUCGUUCGAAAAUAUCGCUGUUCGAAUUUUCAACGCUCCAUUGUAAUGCUCAUACGUUCCUGUAUGUAAAACAGUCACGGCCGCGACGCAACGCAAUUCUUCGUUAUUUUAACCGAGGUUCGGUAAGCCUGCGAGAUUUUAUCCUAUCUUGCAUGCAUGUACAUAUGUAAUUGUAUAUUUUUGAGAUUUGUCGUUUUUAUUGCGUCGUGAAAAAAGCUUGGUGAGGUUCGAUCGAAACACGUUGCAUUAAUUUUCCAACAGCAACAACGGCAUUGUCAAAUAUGCCCAAGCAUUUAUGGUAUUGAACACAUUUUCGCUCAUCAGAGAUACGAAAACUGUAUUUUUACUGGAAUAUUUCGUUUUUCGAGUCGGUUCGAAAAUGAGGUCGGUUCUUUAAAAGAAGCUAAUAAAGGUUUGUUUACGUGGCCCUGGAAUUGCCGAUUAGUCGGCAAGUUUUCACUAGGAUCGAUUCCUUCCACGAGCAACCUUAAAAGGAAUUUAUUCGCGUAAAAAGACAUUUGAAAAAUUAACGACGUCGAAGUUUGCCACGUUUGGCGUUCAACGAAAUGAACGAAACAAAGAUUUGUCAUUCACCAAUUUUUUAUUUCACCAAUCAUUGGUGCAGGUUGGAAAACUACGAAUUGAAAAUUCGUCAGAGAACAAAAUUGGAGAUUUACUCGAAUUAUUCGAGAGUUUUUUUACACCAUUUCGUUGUACUCCAACGUUGCGAACUUCAGCGUCAUAAAAAUUACACUCUCACGUACGAACUGCCCGAAAGAUUUUAAUGAAAUUUUGAAAACACUAGGCUUUGAGGUAUCAACUGUCGCAACAGUGACUUUAAAUAUACCGGAGCGUGGAUUAAUUUUUAUUAGUGUCAUAAAAAAAUUCAUACCAUGCACUAAAAUUAAGAAUCUUUCGAUUUCUCCAUGCUUUUUCUUUCCUCACAAUUUCUUAUUUCGACCAAAACUCGAAAAUUUGUCCAGCUCGGCAUUUUCAUCGAUCCCAUUGGCUGAAAUUCAAUUUUCAAAACCAUCUUCCCUCAUUAUUUAGAGUAUGACAGUUAACCGUCACGAUAAUAUCAGCUGGCACUAAAAAUAUGGAAGAUCAUAAAAGAUCGUAAAAGAUAAAAAUUAUGAAGGAAGAUCGAAGAUUUUUUUCGUCUUUUUAAGGCGAAAUAUUUCAGUUGAUCUCUUCGUUUCCAUGAUUGAAAAUACAAUGUCGUCAAAAUAUUGAUUAUUGGAAAAAAACGACGCCGAACUUUGCAACGUUCGAGUCCAACGAAAUGAUCUAAAAAAAAAUCCAAUAAUUCCAGUAAUUCUCCAAUAUCGU